UACGUAGGGACCAAGCGUUGUUCGGACUUACUGGGCGUAAAGGGCGCGUAGGCGGCAAUUCAAGUCAGCUGUGAAAUCUCUGGGCUUAACCCAGAACGGCCAGCUGAUACUGCUUUGCUAGAGUGCAGAAGGGGCAAUCGGAAUUCUGGUGUAGCGGUGAAAUGCGUAGAUAUCAAGAGGAACACCUGAGGUGAAGACGGGUUUGCUGGGCUGACACUGACGCUGAGGCGCGAAAGCCAGGGAGCAAACGGG
rnacentral:rRNA from 1 species